AAAGUUGAAAGCAAGCGUAGACACCAAAAAGAGCAUCAAACAGCAGAAGAAAUUGAUAUGAAAAAAUCGAAGAUGAGUUAAUAAUAUUCAAUGUGAAGAUCUGUGUUGUGUAAUAUGCAGUGCCUCAUAAUACAGUAUGAUAACAUGUUACUCCUCUUGAGCUCACCU
rnacentral:rRNA from 1 species